rnacentral:rRNA from 1 species
AGUGAACGCUGGCGGCGUGCUUAACACAUGCAAGUCGAACGGCAGCACGGGAGCAAUCCUGGUGGCGAGUGGCGAACGGGUGAGUAAAGUAUCGGAACGUGCCCAGUCGUGGGGGAUAACGUAGCGAAAGUUACGCUAAUACCGCAUACGAUCUAUGGAUGAAAGCGGGGGAUCGCAAGACCUCGCGCGAUUGGAGCGGCCGAUAUCAGAUUAGGUAGUUGGUGGGGUAAAGGCUCACCAAGCCGACGAUCUGUAGCUGGUCUGAGAGGACGACUAGCCACACUGGGACUGAGACACGGCCCAGACUCCUACGGGAGGCAGCAGUGGGGAAUUUUGGACAAUGGGCGCAAGCCUGAUCCAGCCAUGCCGCGUGCAGGAUGAAGGCCUUCGGGUUGUAAACUGCUUUUGUACGGAACGAAAAGGUUUGGCCUAAUACGCUGAACUCAUGACUGUACCGUAAGAAUAAGCACCGGCUAACUACGUGCCAGCCGCCGCCGUAA